UUCUCGGAAAUGAAGCUUUGAGUCACCCUAAGAGGAGAGUGGGUCAGGCUACGUUACAGAAUUUGUAGAAAAGAGAAAAAAAAGAGAGAUGGUGAAAUUAAAACUAAAAAUGGACUUCAGCCAUGACUGAAAUCGAUGCACUGAAAGGAGAACAACCACGAGGGAGCGGGUGUGCUGGAGGCCACUGUCAUGGCCUAGGAGAGAGCAGCCUCCCGAGCUAGUGCAGGGUGGCUCCCUGCUGGGCCAGGGGCCUUGCCCGGCUCAGGACCUGGGCAGAUGAUCACCCUGUCCUUGGGCACUCUUCUCAGUGACACACGGGCUACAAAGGUUGGUCUCUGGAGCUCUAGUGUCUGCAGCAGUGUCCACAGCCCGGCUGAGGCCUUAGUACUUGGGAAGCCGGAGAUAGGUGGUCCCCUGAGCCUCGACAAACAGGUAAGAAAAUGCCUGUGAGACCAGGCUGCGGGGUGGCCCCGGCAAGGCCCGCCACAGGGCUCAGCCUAUAGGUGCUGCUGUUGUGGCUGUUAUAUUAUCAACAACAGAACAGCAGCUGUCUGCAAGGGAGACAGAGAUUAGCAGCACCUGCAGCCUGGGUUUG